rnacentral:sRNA from 1 species
GUACCCUGGGUCACCUCAGCCCAGAGCUGGCGGCAGGCCCCCAGCCCCUCAUGUCAGAGCCCCCUGUGUACUGUAACCUGGUGGACCUUCGCCGCUGUCCUCGGUCCCCACCCCCAGGCCCUGCAUGCCCCCUGCUGCAGAGGCUGGAUGCCUGGGAGCAGCACCUGGACCCCAACUCUGGACGCUGCUUCUACAUAAAUUCACUGACUGGCUGCAAGUCCUGGAAGCCCCCGCGCCGCAGUCGCAGCGAGACGGUGAGACCUCACCUCCUGCUUCUCCACUGUCCCCUCAAGCUCUUCCUUCCCCUGAUGAACCUCAAGGUAGUGUGUUUUCUCUCUGGGGCUCUCAGAAGAUCAGAACAAUCAGCCAAGUAUAAGAAGGGUGUGGAGAGUGGGUAGAGGUGGCAUCUGGAUGUAGCUUUAUUUCCUCCUCCCCUAACCCAGAACCCUGGCUCCAUGGAGGGGACACAGACCCUGAAGAGGAACAAUGAUGUCCUGCAACCUCAGGCAAAGGGCUUCAGAUCUGACACAGGGACCCCAGAACCGCUUGACCCACAGGGUUCACUCAGCCUCAGCCAACGCACCUCG